rnacentral:misc_RNA from 1 species
GUGAGAAACAGAGAAAGAAGUCCCAUGGUCAAGAACAAGAAGCUCUGGUCAUACAAGGAGAUCAAGUAGAACAGACUGUGGAGGUUAGUACUGCAAAAAGUAAUGAUUCUACUACGAGCAGCUAUAGGAUGUCAUCUUGGAAGAAAUUUCCAUCAGCUGCCGAGAAAAAUCGGAAGGGCACUGAUUCCAUCGGUACACCUACCAAGGAUAAAUCAGAAACGCUGCAUAAUAAAGACGAAACAAGAACCUUUGGGGAUGACAACUCUGAAAAUCUUGGAACUCCAGAGCAUGCUGCAUCAACAGGAAUCAGAAAAGUUUCUUGGGGUUUCUGGGGGGAGCACCAUAAUGUUGCAUAUGAUAAUUCGAUGAUAUGCCGCAUUUGUGAGGUCGAAAUACCAAUAGUACAUGUAGAGGAGCACUCUCUGAUAUGUACAAUUGCUGAUCGGUGUGACUUGAAAGGCUUAACUGUGAAUGAACGACUUGAAAGAGUUGCAGAAACGCUUGAUAAGAUAUUGGAAUCAUGGACACCAAGAAGUUCUUAUACACCAAGACGAACAACGCCAGGUAUACAUGAGGACGUAGAUGAUCUAUCACCCAAAAGAAACAGUUUUUCUCGCCAAUGCUCUGAAGACACGCUUGAUGCCAUGCCUGAUGCUGACAAUGCUUUUGUGAUGGAAGAUCUGAAUGUUUUGUCAGACAUUUCUUGUGAAGCGCGUUCCGCGUUGUUACCUGAUGGAGACACAAAAACUUCAUCUGGGGGAAGCUUGACACCACGAUCACCAUUAUUAACUCCACGGACCAGACAGAUUGAAUUGCUAUUGAGUGGACGGAGGACAAUAUCGGAACUUGAGAAUAAUCAGCAGAUAAGCAAGCUACUGGAUAUUGCCCGUUCUGUUGCAAAUGUAAACGAGAGUGACUAUAGUUCAUUGGAGUCUAUGCUUGACCGCCUAGACGACCUCAAAUAUGCCAUUCAGGAUAGAAAGGUGGAUGCCCUCAUUGUAGAGACUUUUGGAAGGCGCAUAGAGAAAUUAUUACAGGAGAAGUAUGUGGAUCUUUGUGCACAGAUAGAUGAAGAAAAAUUGGACUCGUCAAACCAUAUGGCUGAUGAAGAGAGUUCAGUGGAAGAUGAUACGGUUCGCAGUUUGCGUGCAAGCCCUAUCAAUCCAUAUUCUAAGGAUAGAACUUCUAUAGAAGAUUUUGAAAUAAUAAAACCAAUCAGCAGAGGGGCAUUUGGACGGGUUUUCCUAGCCAGAAAAAGGGCAACUGGUGAUUUUUUUGCUAUAAAGGUUUUAAAGAAGGCUGAUAUGAUUCGUAAAAAUGCUGUUGAAAGUAUUUUGGCAGAGCGAAACAUACUCAUAUCAGUUUGCAAUCCGUUUGUGGUACGGUUUUUCUACUCCUUCACAUGUAGGGAAAAUCUUUACCUGGUCAUGGAGUAUCUAAAUGGAGGAGACCUUUACUCACUGUUGAGAAACUUGGGCUGCUUGGAUGAAGACAUGGCCCGUAUGUAUAUUGCAGAAGUUGUUCUUGCUUUGGAGUAUUUGCAUUCUUUAAAUGUCAUUCACAGAGACUUGAAACCAGACAACUUGUUGAUUGGUCAAGAUGGUCAUAUCAAGUUGACAGAUUUUGGGCUCUCGAAGGUUGGUCUUAUCAAUAGCACAGAUGACUUAUCUGGUGCAUCAUUUAAUAGUUCUGCUUUUCUUGAUGACCAUGAAACAAAAAGUCAAAAUUCUUCAAAAAGAGAGCAGCGCCAAAAGCAUUCUGUUGUUGGCACUCCUGAUUAUUUGGCACCUGAGAUACUUCUUGGCAUGGGACAUGGUGCAACUGCUGAUUGGUGGUCUGUGGGUGUUAUUCUUUUUGAGCUGCUUGUUGGUAUUCCACCUUUCAAUGCAGAAACUCCACAGCAAAUAUUUGACAAUAUAAUGAAUAGAGAUAUACCUUGGCCCAGGGUACCUGAGGAGAUGAGCUUCGAAGCAUGUGAUUUGAUCAACAAAUUGUUGACUGAAAAUCCAAUUCAAAGGCUUGGAGCAACAGGAGCCAAAGAGGUGAAGCAGCACCCUUUCUUUGGGGACAUUAACUGGGACACACUUGCACGGCAAAAGGCUAUGUUCAUACCAACAGCAGAUGCAUAUGACACAAGUUAUUUUAUGAGCCGCUAUAUAUGUAAUCCAGAGGGUGAAAAUUUUCUAGGGGGCAGUGACUUUGAUGACUUAACUGACUCAUGCAGCACUGGGUCAUUCAGCAAUACCCAUGAUGAGGAUGGGGAUGAAUGCGGCAGCUUGGCAGACUUUAAUGCUCCCGCACUUGCUGUGAAGUACUCAUUCAGUAAUUUUUCAUUUAAGAAUUUGUCUCAGCUUGCCUCUAUCAAUUAUGAUAUGGUGAUUAGGAGCGCCAAGGAAGCAGCGGAUGCAUCGAAACCGUCCGCUCCUUGACAAUUCUUCAUGAUUGCUUAAAUAGCCGUUCAUCAUUUUGCUCCCAGCUGCAGUUUCAGUUUAGCAUGGUCAAUUUCAAUCGUGAUUCUUUGAUGAUGAGGAAAAAUUUUCAACCUGAAAAUUUCAACAAGACACUUUCCUAGAACAGCAGUUUAUCUAUUUGAGAAAAAAAAAAAGGUUGAAUUUGCCA